GUACGACUACAUAUCAGGCAUAUCAAUAAGCGGAGGAAAAGAAACUAACAAGGAUUCCCCUAGUAACGGCGAGUGAAGCGGGAAGAGCUCAAAUUUGAAAUCUUAAAGGGUUUCCCUUUACGAAUUGUAGUUUAAAGAAGUGUUUUCUGUUGGAGUUUCGGUAAAAGUUCUUUGGAAUAGGACAUCAUAGAGGGUGAGAAUCCCGUAUUUGACCGUUACUUUCCAGCUGUGUGAUACGCUUUCAAAGAGUCGGAUUGUUUGGGAAUGCAGUCCAAGAUGGGUGGUAAAUUUCAUCUAAAGCUAAAUAUUGGCGAGAGACCGAUAGCGAACAAGUACCGUGAGGGAAAGAUGAAAAGAGCUUUGAAAAGAGAGUUAAACAGUACGUGAAAUUGUCAAAAGGGAAGCGUUUGACACCAGUGUUGUUUAGUUGAAAAUCAAUUCAAUAGUUUUUGAUUCUAAGUAGUAUUGACUUCAUCAGCUUGCUGCUUUCUUCUCAGAAAUUAUUGAAUGCACUUUUCAGUUAACAAGUCAACAUCAAUUUCUUUUGUUGUAAAAGGGUAAGAGGAAGGUGGCUUGCGCUUCGGCUCAAGUGUUUAUAGCCUUUAUCUCUGCAAUCGGAGAGAUUGAGGUCUGCAGCGUAGAUCCUUCGGGGUUAGAUACAUUGGUGCUAAGCUAUAGCCUUGUAUAGACAACUUGUUGACUAUGCUCAGUCAUGUAGCUUACUCGCUGAUGCUAUUUUACCUACGCUUAGGAUGUUGAUCUACAGAGCGAGAGU
rnacentral:rRNA from 1 species